GGGACACGUGGUAUCCUGUCUGAAUAUGGGGGGACCAUCCUCCAAGGCUAAAUACUCCUGACUGACCGAUAGUGAACCAGUACCGUGAGGGAAAGGCGAAAAGAACCCCGGCGAGGGGAGUGAAAAAGAACCUGAAACCGUGUACGUACAAGCAGUGGGAGCACCCUUUGGGGUGUGACUGCGUACCUUUUGUAUAAUGGGUCAGCGACUUAUAUUCUGUAGCAAGGUUAACCGAAUAGGGGAGCCGGAGGGAAACCGAGUCUUAACCGGGCGUUAAGUUGCAGGGUAUAGACCCGAAACCCGGUGAUCUAGCCAUGGGCAGGUUGAAGGUUGGGUAACACUAACUGGAGGACCGAACCGACUAAUGUUGAAAAAUUAGCGGAUGACCUGUGGCUGGGGGUGAAAGGCCAAUCAAACCGGGAGAUAGCUGGUUCUCCCCGAAAGCUAUUUAGGUAGCGCCUCGUGAAUUCAUCUCCGGGGGUAGAGCACUGUUUCGGCUAGGGGGCCAUCCCGGCUUACCAACCCGAUGCAAACUGCGAAUACCGGAGAAUGUUAUCACGGGAGACACACGGCGGGUGCUAACGUCCGUCGUGAAGAGGGAAACAACCCAGACCGCCAGCUAAGGUCCCAAAGUCAUGGUUAAGUGGGAAACGAUGUGGGAAGGCCCAGACAGCCAGGAUGUUGGCUUAGAAGCAGCCAUCAUUUAAAGAAAGCGUAAUAGCUCACUGGUCGAGUCGGCCUGCGCGGAAGAUGUAACGGGGCUAAACCAUGCACCGAAGCUGCGGCAGCGACACUGUGUGUUGUUGGGUAGGGGAGCGUUCUGUAAGCCUGUGAAGGUGUGUCGUGAGGCAUGCUGGAGGUAUCAGAAGUGCGAAUGCUGACAUAAGUAACGAUAAAGCGGGUGAAAAGCCCGCUCGCCGGAAGACCAAGGGUUCCUGUCCAACGUUAAUCGGGGCAGGGUGAGUCGACCCCUAAGGCGAGGCCGAAAGGCGUAGUCGAUGGGAAACGGGUUAAUAUUCCCGUACUUGGUGUUACUGCGAAGGGGGGACGGAGAAGGCUAUGUUGGCCGGGCGACGGUUGUCCCGGUUUAAGCGUGUAGGUGUGUGUUCCAGGUAAAUCCGGUUCACUUUAACACUGAGGCGUGAUGACGAGGCACUACGGUGCUGAAGCAACAAAUGCCCUGCUUCCAGGAAAAGCCUCUAAGCAUCAGGUAACAUCAAAUCGUACCCCAAACCGACACAGGUGGUCAGGUAGAGAAUACCAAGGCGCUUGAGAGAACUCGGGUGAAGGAACUAGGCAAAAUGGUGCCGUAACUUCGGGAGAAGGCACGCUGACACGUAGGUGAAGUGAUUUACUCAUGGAGCUGAAGUCAGUCGAAGAUACCAGCUGGCUGCAACUGUUUAUUAAAAACACAGCACUGUGCAAACACGAAAGUGGACGUAUACGGUGUGACGCCUGCCCGGUGCCGGAAGGUUAAUUGAUGGGGUCAGCGCAAGCGAAGCUCCUGAUCGAAGCCCCGGUAAACGGCGGCCGUAACUAUAACGGUCCUAAGGUAGCGAAAUUCCUUGUCGGGUAAGUUCCGACCUGCACGAAUGGCGUAAUGAUGGCCAGGCUGUCUCCACCCGAGACUCAGUGAAAUUGAACUCGCUGUGAAGAUGCAGUGUACCCGCGGCAAGACGGAAAGACCCCGUGAACCUUUACUAUAGCUUGACACUGAACAUUGAGCCUUGAUGUGUAGGAUAGGUGGGAGGCUUUGAAGUGUGGACGCCAGUCUGCAUGGAGCCGACCUUGAAAUACCACCCUUUAAUGUUUGAUGUUCUAACGUGGACCCGUGAUCCGGGUUGCGGACAGUGUCUGGUGGGUAGUUUGACUGGGGCGGUCUCCUCCUAAAGAGUAACGGAGGAGCACGAAGGUUGGCUAAUCCUGGUCGGACAUCAGGAGGUUAGUGCAAUGGCAUAAGCCAGCUUGACUGCGAGCGUGACGGCGCGAGCAGGUGCGAAAGCAGGUCAUAGUGAUCCGGUGGUUCUGAAUGGAAGGGCCAUCGCUCAACGGAUAAAAGGUACUCCGGGGAUAACAGGCUGAUACCGCCCAAGAGUUCAUAUCGACGGCGGUGUUUGGCACCUCGAUGUCGGCUCAUCACAUCCUGGGGCUGAAGUAGGUCCCAAGGGUAUGGCUGUUCGCCAUUUAAAGUGGUACGCGAGCUGGGUUUAGAACGUCGUGAGACAGUUCGGUCCCUAUCUGCCGUGGGCGCUGGAGAACUGAGGGGGGCUGCUCCUAGUACGAGAGGACCGGAGUGGACGCAUCACUGGUGUUCGGGUUGUCAUGCCAAUGGCACUGCCCGGUAGCUAAAUGCGGAAGAGAUAAGUGCUGAAAGCAUCUAAGCACGAAACUUGCCCCGAGAUGAGUUCUCCCUGAGACUUAAAGUCUCCUGAAGGAACGUUGAAGACGACGACGUUGAUAGGCCGGGUGUGUAAGCGCAGCGAUGCGUUGAGCUAACCGGUACUAAUGAACCGUGAGGCUUAACCUUACAACGCCGAAG
rnacentral:rRNA from 1 species